UGGUGAUUUGGAGCUGGUUUCUUUUUAGCCUGUCAUUAAUGUCACUGAUGAUUCCAAGGUACUCAAGAAGAUUUUGAGGGAAGGGGAAGGGAUUCUUACUGCAAAUGAGUGUGCAGCUGUCAACGGUGAGUAUCCUUUUGUGCACAUUAAGUUUUGAAGCAAUGUUGUCAAGAUCAAUCUGGAUUUGAAAAUUUUCUUGAUAUAGCUUGAGUAUGAAGCUUCUACAGUUACAGCCAGUGGCGUAUUAGAUAGUGGCUUGAAUCUAAUAUUCUAGUCCGGCCCAUAGCUUUUAUUCAAUUGAAAGAGAUUGUGUUGCAAAACGGGUAUUUAGUAUUCGUUUAUUACGAAAUGUUUCGAUUCUAUCCUUUCGUAAAACUCUAUCUCAAGAUGAACUAUGAGCAUAUGCAACCAAGUUUCUGCAACAAGCUGAAUCAUGCCUUUAUAAACCAUCAUAAAUGACAUUAACAAUGUUCUUAAUGCUUUCUCCUGUCUUUUGGCAAACUGUGUAUGUCAUACUCAUAAUGUUGUGUUCUGCUUGGUGGUCUUUCUGAAACUUCAGGAGUUUUUCCCACAGGCUAAAAGCCUAUAUAUCUAUCAUUGAUGCCUUGGAUAAUAACCCCAAUCCCUCUCUUGUUGCUGUAGUCGCCCAAGCAACGGGCCCUCAAAAUGAACGACUCAAGUUUAUCCUGUGGAUAUUUACGGGGGGUGCUAUACUGCUAUGCCUAUUGGGGAUGUACUAGCUCCCAGAUCCCAUAUCGGUUAUCUGUAUUGCCCUAUAUAGGAACGAGCCCAUGAUGGUCUUGGUUUUUAUGGCGAAAGCAUGCGUGGAUCAAGCUUUGCCCCCUCUCACCGCUUAAAAACCUGAGGCAGCUAAAUCACAUGCCUUCGGGUAGCUGAGGGGAAAUCGACUGGAUUUCUGUGUCUUGUGUCUUUCAAGGGCGAUGGUCCACCAUAUCAAAACAAUCAAAGUAGGAGCAUGACAGGGAAUCAUCAUCAGUACCUUUGAGUCGUCGUUGCU